GGCCCAAUGGUCUAGUAGUAUGAUUCGCGCUUCGGGGGUUCCCGGUCGGAAGACCACAGUAUGCGCGAGGUCCCGGGUUCAAUUCCCGGUUGGGCCC